UACGGGGGGGGCAAGCGUUGUUCGGAAUUACUGGGCGUAAAGGGCUCGUAGGCGGCCAACUAAGUCGGAUGUGAAAUCCCCAGGCUUAACCUGGGAACUGCAUCCGAUACUGGAUGGCUUGAAUCCGGGAGAGGGAUGCAGAAUUCCAGGUGUAGCGGUGAAAUGCGUAGAUAUCUGGAGGAAUACCGGUGGCGAAGGCGGCAUCCUGGACCAAUACUGACGCUGAACAGCGAAAGCCAGGGGAGCAAACGGG
rnacentral:rRNA from 1 species